rnacentral:tRNA from 1 species
GCAAAGUUAGCUGAGAUGGAUUAGUGCUUCCCUGAAAAGGAAGAAAGGUUGGAUCGUUACCAACACUUUGCA